rnacentral:pre_miRNA from 1 species
UAAAGUGCUUACAGUGCAGGUAGUGUGUCGUUAUCUACUGCACUAUGAGCACUUACAGU